CCCGCAAGCCCGGGCUUGACUCUGCGAGCACCGCUCCCGCCCGGUCAGGGGCAGGUCCCGCGCCCGCCGCCUGCGGGACCCGAACCGGCGUCUUGAGAAGCCCGGCCCUCCUCCCUCCUCUCUCGCCCCGCGCCCGCCGCGAGCGAUGCCCCGAGACCCAGCCCACGCCUAGAGCGGGCAGCGGCCUGGCGGUGGGGUCGAAAGCUACGGCACAGAGCCGUGCCUGAGUCGGAAAGAAGCCUCGGCGGAAGCGGAAGCGGAAGCGGAGAUGGCCGCAGCGGAGCGGGCAGGGGCCGUGUGUGACCCUGGCCGGGUCAUUUCCGUCGGGCCGGGCAGGGUCCGUGGGGGCUCGGGCGGGGUUGGUGGGGACCAGGGCGCAAGCCAAGAAGGGCGGCGCGGCCGGGGGCGGGGACUGGGACGGGGCCAGCGCUCCGAGGAAGACGCGGGGAGCCUGGGGCAUGGGGCCAGGCUCGGGGCGCCGGGAGGUGACCUUCCCUCGCUGGCCCUGCACGAAGCACGACCUUCCUCGGGUUCAGCUCGCUCCCCUUGCAGCCCCUGGCAAGGAGGACCCUGAGCAUCUGUGUAGCCUGGAUGACCUUGCCCCGGAGGAGCCGAGGUGGGCACGCUAGGAGAGGCCCCCAGGGAUGACAUGGCGACCCGAAUGGCAGAAUCAUGUGGUCUCUCAUACCGCGGAACAGUAGGUCACGAUGAAAAGGAACCAUGCGGAUUCAAAGGACUGAUUGUCAGCUUAGGCAGAGCCCAGAAACACACGUGAAAAUUUACUGGAAAAACAGAGAGGGAGCCUGGGACUGGGGAUGGGGGACAAAGGGGACUUUAACUUAAUUGGCAUUGUUUUGUUUCUAGUCUAUGGAAGAGGCAGAGGUGGGAACACGAGUGCCUAUUAGGAUACUGUAUACUUUUUUGGUAAAUCUUUUAUUUUCUUUAAAUUAAAUAAAGGGGGGAAUUAGGUCCCCCUGUUCUUGUUUGGCCUGUGGCCACAGCAUCUGUUCCAGGAGAGAGGUGAGUCUGCAUGGGUGGGGGAAGAGAAGCCCUUAUCUCAGGGCAGGGCUCAUGCUCGCUGGGGACAGCCACCCUGCCACCACCACUGCCAAAUUAAGCCUUAUUUGUGUGCAGAUUUUUUUUUCUGGAGACAGAGUCUUGCUCUGCCCAGGCUGGAGUGCAAUGGCACGAUCUCGGCUCACUCCAACCUCCACCUCCCGGAUCCAAGCAAUUCUCCUGCCUCAGCCUCCCAAGUAGCUGGGAUUACAGGCACCUGCCACCACUCCCGGCUAAUUUUUUGUAUUUUUAGUAGAGAUAGGGUUUCAUCAUGUUGACCAGGCUGAUCUCAAACUCCUUACCUCAGGUGAUCCACCCGCCUCAGCCAGCACUUUGGGAGGCCGAAGCAGGCGGAUCUCUGGACUCAACUAAUGAUGCUGGAAAAACCGCAUAUCCACAUGCAAAAGAAUGAAGUUGGACCCUAACCUAGCACCAUAUACAAAAAUUACCUCAAAAUGGAUUCAGGACAUAAACAUAAGACCUGUAACUAUAAAAAUCCUGAAAGAAAACAGGGGGAAAGGUCUACAACAUUAGAUGUGGCAAUGAUUUUUUUAGAUAUGACCCCAAAAGCAAGAAUAGACAAAUAGGACCAAGUCAGACUUUAUAAAAACUGCACAGCAAAGGAAACAACAGAAUGAAAGGCAAUCUGUGGAAUGGGAGAAAAUAUUGCAAAUCAGAUAUCUAAUAAGGAAUUGCUAUCCAAAAUAAAAUUUAGACUCCUACCACUCGACAACAACAAACAACUCACUUAAAAAUGGGCAAAAGGCUGGGUAUGGUUGCUCAUGCCUGUAAUCCCAGGCUUCCCUUGGGAGGCCAAGGUGGGAGGAUCACUUGAGGCCAAUAGUUAGAAACUAGUCUGGGCGAUAUUGUGAGACCUCAUCUCUACAAAAAGUAAACUAAAACAAGGCAGGCAUGAUAGCACCUAUAGUCCUAGUUACUUGGUAGGCUGAGGCAGGAGGAUCACUUGAGCUCAGGAGUUCAAGGUUGCAGUGAGCUAUGAUUGUGCUACUGUACCCUAGCCUGGACAACACAGCACAAGAAAAAAUAAAGUGGACCUUUUCAUCAGUUAUAACAAGUGCACAACUCUUGUUCAGGGGAAGCUGUGCAGUUGGGAGGGCAGAGAGUAUGUGGGAGCUCUCUGUACUUUGUGCUCAGUUUUGCGUGAAUCUAAAACUGCUCUGAAAAAUUAAGUCUGUGAAAAGGAAGAAAUGAACUACCAAGUCAUGAAAAAAACACAGAAGAAUCUUCAAUGUAUAUUACUAAGUGAAAAUGCAUACUACUGCUAUGGUUUGAAUGUGUCCCCUAAAGUUCAUGUGUUAGAAACUUGAUCCCCAAUGUGGUGGUCUUGGAGAUGGGACCUAGUGGGAAGUGUUUGGGUCAUGGGGCCACUACCCUCAUAAAUGCAUUAAUGCCAUUCUCAAAGGAGUGGGUUCAUUAUAGAGCAAGUAGUUUUCUUAUAAAAGAAGUUUGCCUUCCCACCCUCUCUUUGCCCGGCCUCUGGGUUGAUGAAGCAAGAAGGUCCUCACCAAAUGCCAGCUCCUCGAUCUUGGGCUUCCCAGCCUUCA
rnacentral:lncRNA from 1 species